rnacentral:rRNA from 1 species
GGGUUGUGAGGUUAAGCGACUAAGCGUACACGGUGGAUGCCCUGGCAGUCAGAGGCGAUGAAGGACGUGCUAAUCUGCGAUAAGCGUCGGUGAGGUGAUAUGAACCGUUAUAACCGGCGAUUUCCGAAUGGGGAAACCCAGUGUGUUUCGACACACUAUCAUUAACUGAAUCCAUAGGUUAAUGAGGCGAACCGGGGGAACUGAAACAUCUAAGUACCCCGAGGAAAAGAAAUCAACCGAGAUUCCCCCAGUAGCGGCGAGCGAACGGGGAGGAGCCCAGAGCCUGAAUCAGUGUGUGUGUUAGUGGAAGCGUCUGGAAAGGCGUGCGAUACAGGGUGA